UGGACUCUCAUUCUGAUGGCACCAAUUCACUGCAGAGGAUCCAUUGAUGAACAAGUGAUGUAAUGAUAAAUGUCUCCAAAUCUAUUCUGAUGAAGAAACAAACUAAUCUACAACUUGAAUGGCCCAAGGGCAAUUUAGUUACAUUUUUGGGUGAACUUUUACUUUAAAUGCUUUUGGGGACCACCAAAUUAGAUAAAGCUUUGUCCUUGUUAUACAUAUGCCUACUUCUAUAUAGUAAAAAAAAAACUGAUUUGCAUAAUUACAUUCAGCUACCCUUAACCAAACCCUAACCCUAUUAUCUACAUGAUGUAAAUUGAUUUUACUCUGUAUUUGUGUAAUUACACUGUAUCAAUGACACAUAAAAUAAGGUGUAACCCUAAAUUACGUUGUGCAUCUUGAAAUUUAAAGGCUAUUACUUCACCCCAAAGUGAAAAUUUUGUCAUUAAUCACCUACCCCCAUGACAAGCUUUGUUCGUCUUCAGAAAACACAAUUUAAGAUAUUUUGGAUGAAAACCAGGAGGCUUGUACGGGAGGCAGAAGUGUCAUUUUGGAGAAUAUACACUGAACCCAAACUGUAUGCUAUCCUGUGUCAGCCUCGACACAAGGAUUUGUUUUCUAAGUGUAUUUACACUUUGAUUUGAAUGAAAACAGUACAUCUCUGCAGCGUGGCUGACACAGAGGAGCCCAAACUGCCUGCAUUCAGCAGAUGUUCUCCAAAAUUGUGCUGCAGUGAUGUGGAGAUUCUCGUUUUCUUUGCAUACAAGAAGUAUUCUCGUCGAUUCAUAACUUUACAGUUAAACCACUGAUGGCAGAUGGACUUUUCUGACGACAUCUUUCAUACUUUUCUGGACCUUGACAGUGUAUUUUUCUUGGCAGUCAAUGGGACAGUCACAAGCCAUGGGAUUGGAACGACAUGGUGCUGUCAAAGGCAGCUUAUCUGGAUCUGCUAGAUACACAGUUCAAAUUGUUGAUACGUCCAGUACUGAGGAUUGUUCAGUCCAGCCGCUUUUGCCGACCACGGUCUCUUCACCAUCUCAUAUUACUGCAAAUCACUCAACUCUGUAACUCUGUAAUAAUCCCUCCCGCAUUAGUAUCCCUCUUGUGGGUGAUGUUCUCUCUCCUUAAGAUUCAUCUUUUUGCAAAAGGGUCCUGUAUUUUCUGCUUCAAAGCUGCCAAGGUAAUUAUUUUUAUUGCGGUGCAGAGCCCAUGGUGGAGUCACUUUACCUCCCUCUAGGGAAUAAACAUAACAACUACAGCCUGAUGGUGGUCAUCACUGUUAAAAAAGCUGCAGGUGUUACUGUUGACACUGCUGUAACCACUCAGUACUCUGAAGAAGAGGAGGAGAUCGUAGACCUGAUGCAGAUCUGCGGUCUUCUUGGCAUCAAAUGCAAGAAAAAGUAAACUGACGCAGAUGCUUCUAUGACUACAGCUUCAGUCAUGUCAUAGAAAUGAUACUUGUAUUUAUAACAAUGUCACAGACAGUUCAAGCUUUAUUGUAAAAUGCCUCUUGGUCUUUGGACUUCAUCUUUGCAUUACAUCUAUUACAUGUCUGAGUAGGUAAUAGAUGAAAACAUAAAUUUUUCUUGCUGGGUAGCUUUAAAACAACCUGCGGUAAAAUUACUAUCUGGGAAAUUAUAAAUUCUGACAACACACUGUGCAUCGGUAUUGAUACAUAAAGGGAUCUGAAUCAUAUACAGCAUUGUUUAUGCCCUGCAGGAGAAAUAAAUUUGCUGCCAUGCACUAAAUGUCUUUUUUUUUAAGGAAAAUUUCAACCAUACCAACUGGCUCAGCCAAUUACCCCAAGGACUAUACAUAAAAAAAUGGCCUGUGAUUGUUUUUCAGGACUCAACUCUUAUAUUGCUUAAACAAGACAGUAAGCUCAUUUAAAUGACCAUUUACCAAGAAAUUAAUAGGCCUUUUGGGUGCCCAGCCACAAGCAUGCAUGUACCAGCAAGAAGACCAAAAUCAGUCAUUCUUACUAAAUAUUGAGUGCCGCAACAAACCUAUUGAACUAAUCAGUAUGUCAGAUAUUUGGGAGUCUAUAGCCUUCAAAAGCAAAUGCAAAAUGAUUGUGAACUUUGGUAUACUUAUUGGACAGCAUUACUGAUAGCAAUGUAAGCAUCUAACACUUAACCUACAGAUUAUAUUCAGGUUUUAUCAAAUUUGGAUCAGGUAAUCUUGAGACUACUUCUGUAGUUAUCAAGCUUUGAUAUAUACACAAUAUUUAUUGUACCAUUCCUGAACCCGAAGAGCCACUUUCCUAAAAGUUUAAUUGUAAGCGUGCCCCAAACAUCUGGCAGUUAUUUUUUGAGGCAAGACACAAAAGGUCAUUGCAAAAAAGGCUGGCUGUUCAUGGAGAUCUGUGUCCAAGCACAUUAAUAGAGAGGCAAAGGGAAGGAAAAGAUUUGGUAGAAAAAAAAGUGUACAAGCAAUAGGGAUAACUGCACCCUGGAGAG